rnacentral:hammerhead_ribozyme from 1 species
AUCUAGCUGACGAGUCGCAAAGAGGAUGAAACAUGAGUGCUAGAU